UACAGAGGGUGCGAGCGUUGUUCGGAAUUAUUGGGCGUAAAGGGCGCGUAGGCGGUCUUGUAAGUCCCGUGUGAAAUCCCUCGGCUCAACUGAGGAACUGCACGGGAAACUGCUUGGCUUGAGUUCGGGAGAGGGAAGCGGAAUUCCGGGUGUAGCGGUGAAAUGCGUAGAUAUCCGGAGGAACACCGGUGGCGAAGGCGGCUUCCUGGACCGACACUGACGCUGAGGCGCGAAAGCUAGGGGAGCAAACGGG
rnacentral:rRNA from 1 species